AUGCCGCGUGAGUGAAGAAGGCCUUCGGGUUGUAAAGCUCUUCAGCCGGAAAGAAAGCGCAUGGGUGAAUAACCUGUGUGGAUGACGGUACCGGAAGAAGAAGCACCGGCUAACUACGUGCCAGCAGCCGCGGUAAUACGUAGGGUGCGAGCGUUAAUCGGAAUUACUGGGCGUAAAGCGUGCGCAGGCGGUUUUGUAAGACAGAUGUGAAAUCCCCGGGCUUAACCUGGGAACUGCAUUUGUGACUGCAAGGCUAGAGUACGGCAGAGGGGGGUAGAAUUCCACGUGUAGCAGUGAAAUGCGUAGAUAUGUGGAGGAAUACCGAUGGCGAAGGCAGCCCCCUGGGUCGAUACUGACGCUCAUGCACGAAAGCGUGGGGAGCAAACAGGAUUAGAUACCCUGGUAGUCCACGCCCUAAACGAUGUCAACUAGGUGUUGGGGGGGAGACUUCCUUAGUACCGCAGCUAACGCGUGAAGUUGACCGCCUGGGGAGUACGGUCGCAAGAUUAAAACUCAAAGGAAUUGACGG
rnacentral:rRNA from 1 species